GACGUAGGGCGCGAGCGUUGUCCGGAUUUAUUGGGCGUAAAGAGCUCGUAGGCGGCUCGUUGCGUCAACCGUGAAAACCCGGGGCUUAACUUCGGGCUUGCGGUUGAUACGGGCGGGCUGGAGUUCGGUAGGGGAGACUGGAAUUCCCGGUGUAGAGGUGAAAUUCGUAGAUAUCGGGAGGAACACCAGUGGCGAAAGCGACUUCCUGGACCAAUACUGACGCUCAUGUGCGAAAGCGUGGGGAGCAAACAGG
rnacentral:rRNA from 1 species